rnacentral:rRNA from 1 species
AGCGAACGCUGGCGGCAGGCCUAACACAUGCAAGUCGAACGAACCCUUCGGGGUUAGUGGCGGACGGGUGAGUAACACGUGGGAACGUGCCUUUAGGUUCGGAAUAACUCAGGGAAACUUGUGCUAAUACCGAAUGUGCCCCUCGGGGGAAAGAUUUAUCGCCUUUAGAGCGGCCCGCGUCUGAUUAGCUAGUUGGUGAGGUAAAGGCUCACCAAGGCUACGAUCAGUAGCUGGUCUGAGAGGAUGACCAGCCACAUUGGGACUGAGACACGGCCCAAACUCCUACGGGAGGCAGCAGCGGGGAAUCUUGCGCAAUGGGCGAAAGCCUGACGCAGCCAUGCCGCGUGGAUGAUGAAGGUCUUAGGAUUGUAAAAUCCUUUCACCGGUGAAGAUAAUGACUGUAGCCGGAGAAGAAGCCCCGGCUAACUUCGUGCCAGCCGCCGCAGUAAUAC